GACCACGUAGCUCAGUUGGCAGAGCAUUGGACUAGUAUCCCAAAGGUCGCGGGUUCGAUUCCCACCGUGGCCA